GUGAGGAAUAUUGGUCAAUGGGCGAGAGCCUGAACCAGCCAUCCCGCGUGAAGGAAGAAGGCGCUAUGCGUUGUAAACUUCUUUUUCAGGGGAAUAAAAUUUCGUAUGUAUACGGAACUGAAGGUACCCUGAGAAUAAGCAUCGGCUAACUCCGUGCCAGCAGCCGCGGUAAUACGGAGGAUGCGAGCGUUAUUCGGAUUUAUUGGGUUUAAAGGGUGCGUAGGCGGGUCAUUAAGUCAGUGGUGAAAUCCUGCAGCUUAACUGUAGAAUUGCCAUUGAUACUGAUGAUCUUGAGUAUGGUCAAGGCAGGCGGAAUGUGUAAUGUAGCGGUGAAAUGCUUAGAUAUUACACAGAACACCGAUAGCGAAGGCAGCUUGCUGGGCCGUUACUGACGCUGAUGCACGAAAGCGUGGGGAUCGAACAGGAUUAGAAACCCUAGUAGUCC
rnacentral:rRNA from 1 species